GGAGCUUGCUCCACCGGAAAAAGAGGAGUGGCGAACGGGUGAGUAACACGUGGGUAACCUGCCCAUCAGAAGGGGAUAACACUUGGAAACAGGUGCUAAUACCGUAUAACAAUCGAAACCGCAUGGUUUUGAUUUGAAAGGCGCUUUCGGGUGUCGCUGAUGGAUGGACCCGCGGUGCAUUAGCUAGUUGGUGAGGUAACGGCUCACCAAGGCCACGAUGCAUAGCCGACCUGAGAGGGUGAUCGGCCACAUUGGGACUGAGACACGGCCCAAACUCCUACGGGAGGCAGCAGUAGGGAAUCUUCGGCAAUGGACGAAAGUCUGACCGAGCAACGCCGCGUGAGUGAAGAAGGUUUUCGGAUCGUAAAACUCUGUUGUUAGAGAAGAACAAGGAUGAGAGUAACUGUUCAUCCCUUGACGGUAUCUAACCAGAAAGCCACGGCUAACUACGUGCCAGCAGCCGCGGUAAUACGUAGGUGGCAAGCGUUGUCCGGAUUUAUUGGGCGUAAAGCGAGCGCAGGCGGUUUCUUAAGUCUGAUGUGAAAGCCCCCGGCUCAACCGGGGAGGGUCAUUGGAAACUGGGAGACUUGAGUGCAGAAGAGGAGAGUGGAAUUCCAUGUGUAGCGGUGAAAUGCGUAGAUAUAUGGAGGAACACCAGUGGCGAAGGCGGCUCUCUGGUCUGUAACUGACGCUGAGGCUCGAAAGCGUGGGGAGCAAACAGGAUUAGAUACCCUGGUAGUCCACGCCGUAAACGAUGAGUGCUAAGUGUUGGAGGGUUUCCGCCCUUCAGUGCUGCAGCUAACGCAUUAAGCACUCCGCCUGGGGAGUACGACCGCAAGGUUGAAACUCAAAGGAAUUGACGGGGGCCCGCACAAGCGGUGGAGCAUGUGGUUUAAUUCGAAGCAACGCGAAGAACCUUACCAGGUCUUGACAUCCUUUGACCACUCUAGAGAUAGAGCUUCCCCUUCGGGGGCAAAGUGACAGGUG
rnacentral:rRNA from 1 species